rnacentral:lncRNA from 1 species
CCGGCCCGGGGCAGCGGCUGCGGCCGCGGGGGGCCUCCCGUCGGGGCUGCAGAUAAAGAAUCCGAGGCGCAGAGAGGUGGCACUGCUGGAAGGAACAGAGCCAGAUCCACAAGAUCCUUCAUUCCGACAAUAAAUAUUCACUGAAGAUCUGCCACAUGUCAGGCCCCAGCCCAGGUGCUGGGGAUUUAGCAGAAAACCAGCCAGACCCAUUUCCUGCAUCCAUGGAGUGCACAGGCUGGUGGGGGAGAUGGGCUAGAAAUCCAUGAACCAAAUUAUACUGAGACGAGCGAGCACCGAGCGCCUAGCGUGGACUGCGACCGCUCGGGCUCCUGUAUCUGUGACAGAUGUGCUUGGGCUCCUCGUAGGACCGAGGGACUUUGUUAUCCACACCACUGGCCUUGAAGUUGGCUGCUACCUGAUGAGAUGAAUUAAGAACAUACCAGCACUUUGGGAGGCUGAAGUGGGUGGAUCACGAGAUCAGGAAAUUGAGGUCCAGUGAGGUGUCUUGGCCAGGACACUCAGUCAGGACGUGACAUGAACACAGGACUGUCUGACUUCAAAUCCAGUGCUCCUUCCCCUGCAGUCCCCACCCCACUGACUGGGGGACAGUGCUCCAGGCAGCUGGAAUGGGACACGGUUUGUGUGGCAGCGAGAUAUCCAGGCUCUCCUCCUUCCAGAUCUAAGGCAUGCGGUGUGAACAGGAGCAAUCCCUUCACAGUGUGGAGCCACCGGCUUUGGAGUUGUUUGUGGCUGCAGUGUGUAACCCAGCAUCUCCUGACUGAUGUUAUAGGUUCUGCCGGAGGGGCAAAUGCGGGCAGCAAGGGCUUGCAGCCCUGGAAUUAACAAAUGAGUACUAAUGAGCCCUCCCUUCCUCCCUCCCUCCCUUUCUCCUUUCCUUCCUUCUUUUCCAAAAUAUAUUUAUCCAUCUAUUUAUU